GGCGGACCGAUGUUUGGAGGACCGCUCGGUGAGGCCGAGUGCGGUUGUGCGGGGCAGCGAUGGCGAAGCUGAAGCAGCGCGGCCCGCUGCAUUGCUACUUGUCGUCCCAGGAGAGCGUGCCUGCUUUGGAUUAAACUAGUGAACAGUGGAUGUAAUGGACACCCUCAGCUGGUCAGACUUUUGCUGAAACAAGAUGCCUGCCUCUGCUGCUGGUAUCCGUGAGUUGGCGAGCUCAGCCUCCCUUCCCACUGUCCUAACUGGGUGGACAACCCAGUUUCGGAAGUCGGUAUUCCGUCAAACGAUUGUGCACUAUGUUUCCCAUUGGCUCCUUUGUGCCUCUCAAGAUCUGCAAUCGUUGUGACAGGUGUCCCCCUCCGCUUCCUUCACUCAAGGUUUCAGAACUGGAGCGAAAGAUUGGCUGUUGCUCCACUCACUUAACUACAGUUAUCAUAGUGGAGGAAGUUGUGUGCCUGGGAGCUGGAAGGUGGAUGAGGAACAGUAAACAGAUGGAAGUUUCCCCCAUCUACCCAACUGUCAUUGUGGACCCCCUCACCAGAGACUGUGCAGCGGUCAAAGAUGAUGGCUCACCUACACUUUCCCACGUCAGCAAGAAAGGGCCAAUGUUGGCUCACUACGGUUAUCACUAAACACGAGGAAUUCUGCAGAUGCUGGAAAUUCAAGCAACACACAUCAAAGUUGCUGGUGAACACAGCAGGCCAUGCAGCAUCUCUAGGAAGAGAUGUUUUUCAUCUAAAUGCUUUUCUGGAGCUGUCAGAGCCUACGAUUUACAGUCUGGAGUAAUCGAUCGAGAGGUGCAGCACUUCACUCUCUCCCUGAUUAUGUGAAGCAAGUGUGUACCUGAUGCAAAGAAACUUAGAGACAAUGUUUGACUCCAUUUCAUCAAUUAAAACGUCCAUUAUUCGUCAAUUAAAGCAUCGAGGACGAUUGAGACAGACAUUGAAGCCAAUGUGGAAGGUGAGCGGGAGUUCAGCGCCAACUGCCUGCCUUUUGAUCACUGCUGUAGAAGAAAUUAGUGAGCAGCCUAUCGCUGUGUGGCUCACUGUGGCAGGUGGGUAGGCCUCUGUGCUCAUUUGGUCUCUCUCUCGAUGAUGGAGGAUGUUACGCGGUUCUGCGUUUAUGCACUAUGGACUUCUUCAGACUUAUGGUUUUUAUAUACAUUGUUUCUCGCCUGUUCCUUUUCUGUUUUGUUGUGCAGGAGGAAGGGGAAUUUGAAGUUCAUGUUCUUGUUGUAUUUUGUGUGAGGAUGGGGAGGAUGCUCUUGUUGCAUUUUGUGUGAAGGGAGGGGAUUUGGGGGUUGAUCGGGAUGCUGUUCUUUUUUGUGUGGGGGCAGGUGAGUUUGAUGUUUCUCUCUGAACAUCUUUCAUGUUCUUUCUUUGUUUCGUGGCUAUCUGUAGAAGACGAAUCUCAGAGCUGUAUAUGGAUGCGUACUUUGCAAAUAAAUGAACCUUUUGAACAUGCAGGCAGAUAGACUUAG